rnacentral:rRNA from 1 species
UACAGAGGUCCCGAGCGUUGUUCGGAUUCAUUGGGCGUAAAGGGUGCGUAGGCGGCGCGGAAAGUUGGGUGUGAAAUCCCUCGGCUCAACCGAGGAACUGCGCCCAAAACUGCCGUGCUCGAGGAAGAUAGAGGUGAGCGGAACUUACGGUGGAGCGGUGAAAUGCGUUGAUAUCGUAAGGAACACCCGUGGCGAAAGCGGCUCACUGGGUCUUUUCUGACGCUGAUGCACGAAAGCUAGGGGAGCAAACGGG